GCAGCAGAAAAAUGCCGUCUAUAAGGCCUUAUUUUAAGAAUAUCAGGCUUCUGCCCUGAUAUUGGUCUAUCUUUAAGUGCCGUCUUUUUCAUAAGCUCAAUUACAGUCAGUCAACAUGUUUAGAAUCAUCCGGCAAAAAACAUUAAUUCAUUUGACCCCAAUAAUUUCUAUUGGGAUUUAGUGUCAAUGUGAGGUGUAAAAAUUAAGGGUACAAUUUAUUUGUAUGUUAACAGGUUAGGCCAGACGGUAUAUUCAGUUUUUUGUCAAAAAUAGCCAAUUAAAGAUUACUCUUUGGAAAAUUAUUAAAAAUCAUUCAACUUACAGAAUAAGUAUUUCAAAACAUUGUCAUGGCAUUUGUUUUCAAUCAGCAAAAAGUUUAUUUGAAAAUAAUAAAGCCUUCUAUAACAAUAUGCACUUUUCAAAACAUAACUCAUUCAAUCAGUUCCGGUUAACUUUUUGCAGCAUUUAUCCCCCCUGUAAGCAUAAUACAAAAGCUUUCUUGCUAAAACUUUGUUAAUUUAUUCCUUUACCUAAUGUAUACCUUAGACACUUCUCAUUUUGUUUUUAUUGGGGCAUUAUGGAAAAUUAAAAAUAUCGGAACUGCUGAUUAUCCGGAACUGGUUGACAAACUAUAGCAAUGGUUGGUGCAUUGUUUCAGUCUCAGCAGUGUAUAGAUCUCUCAUAUGGACACGCUGAAUUGUGUACCACCCAGCUUGGUCCCAGUACACUGGAGUAACUAAACCCCAGCUUGGGGGGUGGGGGAGAGUAAACAAGGAUAGCACUAGGCUUUUAUAAACAUUUGAGUUGGUCUCUUAAAAAACCUGGCUUAAUGCAAUGUGUUAACCCUUUCAGUGCGGGAACCGAAUUUUGAAGGCCUUUGCAAACAGUUUGGAUCCAGAUGAGACGCCACAGAACGUGUCGUCUCAUCAGGAUCCAAACUGUUUGCUAUUCUGAUAAUAUUCUUUGAAAAAAAUCAAAGAAAAUGCUAAUUUUAGAAAUUCAGCAGACGACAUUUUAGCAGACGACAAAUUUCCCAGCAUUCAAAGGGUUAAGUAUUGCCUCAGAUUAACCUGUUAGCCUAUGAAGUCCUCUUAGGACUGCAAUAAGGGAUAAAACUCUACACCUUGCGGGAAUUUUCAUUUAAAGGAAGUGUCUUCUCAGUGAAAAUACAGUCUAGGUGGAAAGUGUCAUCUCUAAUUAACUUGUGCGGACAGGCAAAUACAGUCUAGGUGGAAAGUGUCAUCUCUAAUUAACUUGUGCGGACAGGCUAAUACAGUCUAGGUGGAAAGUGUCAUCUCUAAUUAACUUGUGCGGACAGGCAAAUACAGUCUAGGUGGAAAGUGUCAUCUCUAAUUAACUUGUGCGGACAGGCUAAUACAGUCUAGGUGGAAAGUGUCAUCUCUAAUUAACUUGUGCGGACAGGCAAAUACAGUCUAGGUGGAAAGUGUCAUCUCUAAUUAACUUGUGCGGACAGGCAAAUACAGUCUAGGUGGAAAGUGUCAUCUCUAAUUAACUUGUGCGGACAGGCAAAUACAGUCUAGGUGGAAAGUGUCAUCUCUAAUUAACUUGUGCGGACAGGCAAAUACAGUCUAGGUGGAAAGUGUCAUCUCUAAUUAACUUGUGCGGACAGGCAAAUACAGUCUAGGUGGAAAGUGUCAUCUCUAAUUAACUUGUGCGGACAGGCAAAUACAGUCUAGGUGGAAAGUGUCAUCUCUAAUUAACUUGUGCGGACAGGCAAAUACAGUCUAGGUGGAAAGUGUCAUCUCUAAUUAACUUGUGCGGACAGGCAAAUACAGUCUAGGUGGAAAGUGUCAUCUCUAAUUAACUUGUGCGGACAGGCAAAUACAGUCUAGGUGGAAAGUGUCAUCUCUAAUUAACUUGUGCGGACAGGCAAAUACAGUCUAGGUGGAAAGUGUCAUCUCUAAUUAACUUGUGCGGACAGGCAAAUACAGUCUAGGUGGAAAGUGUCAUCUCUAAUUAACUUGUGCGGACAGGCAAAUACAGUCUAGGUGGAAAGUGUCAUCUCUAAUUAACUUGUGCGGACAGGCAAAUACAGUCUAGGUGGAAAGUGUCAUCUCUAAUUAACUUGUGCGGACAGGCAAAUACAGUCUAGGUGGAAAGUGUCAUCUCUAAUUAACUUGUGCGGACAGGCUAAUACAGUCUAGGUGGAAAGUGUCAUCUCUAAUUAACUUGUGCGGACAGGCAAAUACAGUCUAGGUGGAAAGUGUCAUCUCUAAUUAACUUGUGCGGACAGGCAAAUACAGUCUAGGUGGAAAGUGUCAUCUCUAAUUAACUUGUGCGGACAGGCAAAUACAGUCUAGGUGGAAAGUGUCAUCUCUAAUUAACUUGUGCGGACAGGCUAAUCUGACAAAAUAAUUUACAUACAUGCAGUGUUCAUCAUGGUCUAUUCAAAUUUAGAU